AGAGUUUGAUCAUGGCUCAGAUUGAACGCUGGCGGCAGGCCUAACACAUGCAAGUCGAACGGUAACAGGAAGCAGCUUGCUGCUUUGCUGACGAGUGGCGGACGGGUGAGUAAUGUCUGGGAAACUGCCUGAUGGAGGGGGAUAACUACUGGAAACGGUGGCUAAUACCGCAUAACGUCGCAAGACCAAAGAGGGGGACCUUCGGGCCUCUUGCCAUCAGAUGUGCCCAGAUGGGAUUAGCUGGUUGGUGAGGUAACGGCUCACCAAGGCGACGAUCCCUAGCUGGUCUGAGAGGAUGACCAGCCACACUGGAACUGAGACACGGUCCAGACUCCUACGGGAGGCAGCAGUGGGGAAUAUUGCACAAUGGGCGCAAGCCUGAUGCAGCCAUGCCGCGUGUAUGAAGAAGGCCUUCGGGUUGUAAAGUACUUUCAGCGGGGAGGAAGGUGUUGUGGUUAAUAACCGCAGCAAUUGACGUUACCCGCAGAAGAAGCACCGGCUAACUCCGUGCCAGCAGCCGCGGUAAUACGGAGGGUGCAAGCGUUAAUCGGAAUUACUGGGCGUAAAGCGCACGCAGGCGGUCUGUCAAGUCGGAUGUGAAAUCCCCGGGCUCAACCUGGGAACUGCAUUCGAAACUGGCAGGCUUGAGUCUUGUAGAGGGGGGUAGAAUUCCAGGUGUAGCGGUGAAAUGCGUAGAGAUCUGGAGGAAUACCGGUGGCGAAGGCGGCCCCCUGGACAAAGACUGACGCUCAGGUGCGAAAGCGUGGGGAGCAAACAGGAUUAGAUACCCUGGUAGUCCACGCCGUAAACGAUGUCUACUUGGAGGUUGUGCCCUUGAGGCGUGGCUUCCGGAGCUAACGCGUUAAGUAGACCGCCUGGGGAGUACGGCCGCAAGGUUAAAACUCAAAUGAAUUGACGGGGGCCCGCACAAGCGGUGGAGCAUGUGGUUUAAUUCGAUGCAACGCGAAGAACCUUACCUGGUCUUGACAUCCACAGAACUUUCCAGAGAUGGAUUGGUGCCUUCGGGAACCGUGAGACAGGUGCUGCAUGGCUGUCGUCAGCUCGUGUUGUGAAAUGUUGGGUUAAGUCCCGCAACGAGCGCAACCCUUAUCCUUUGUUGCCAGCGGUCAGGCCGGGAACUCAAAGGAGACUGCCAGUGAUAAACUGGAGGAAGGUGGGGAUGACGUCAAGUCAUCAUGGCCCUUACGACCAGGGCUACACACGUGCUACAAUGGCGCAUACAAAGAGAAGCGACCUCGCGAGAGCAAGCGGACCUCAUAAAGUGCGUCGUAGUCCGGAUUGGAGUCUGCAACUCGACUCCAUGAAGUCGGAAUCGCUAGUAAUCGUGGAUCAGAAUGCCACGGUGAAUACGUUCCCGGGCCUUGUACACACCGCCCGUCACACCAUGGGAGUGGGUUGCAAAAGAAGUAGGUAGCUUAACCUUCGGGAGGGCGCUUACCACUUUGUGAUUCAUGACUGGGGUGAAGUCGUAACAAGGUAACCGUAGGGGAACCUGCGGUUG
rnacentral:rRNA from 1 species